CCCACAUAUUUAAUCAGUCAUUAAAAUCUAGUAAUUCUGCAGUAGAAAUUUCUCUUGAGUUCUUUCUUUGUUCUUCCUGCUCAUCCUGGCUCAGUUCAAAGUCUGACAUUUAGAAUAGUAUUAGACUCUAGGUCUAAACUACAAGCCAAGUGCAAAUUAUAAAGAUGAUAAUAAUAUAACUUUAUGCUUAAUUAGAAUAUUUUCUCAGCUCUCCACUGCCUGCAUUAAAAGUUUUCACAUGCAUUAUUUUGGAGAAGAAUAAUACCAAACAUUAAAUUUAUGAAAAUACCUCUUUAUGACAUUUUUCCAACAGAACUUACAAGAAAAUGGCCUUAGCCAUUUACAAGUGUCCCAUUGGUAUUUACCACAGAAGGCAAAGGCGGGAACCUGACCAAUGAAGGGAGCUGUGUUCAGAAAAGUUGAAUGUGGCAGUCAUGAGCCUUUUUUCUGACAAUAAUGCAUAUUUUGGGGUAUUUUAUGCUCUGUGGUUUAAAAGAAAAAAUAUGGCUGCUAAGCAAAUUGUUGGGAAUGAUAGAGAAUUAUGUAUUCUGGAUCCUGAGGUACAGAUGCUGGAGCAAUCUCAACUCAGUCUUCAAGAGGCCACUUGUUCUGAGAAAAACUUGUGAACCCCAUUUCUACAAAGGUAUAUGAAAGAGUACUAUCCUGUACAUCAACAUUCUGUGGCAGUCGUAUUUUCAAGAGAGUGCUUGGGUGCUGUUGAUAGUGGUACAUGAUUCGAGAUUUCCCAUUGAUCACCUUUAGUGUUUCAGCUUGGUGACACCUGCUCCAGACCAGCUGAACAACAUGUCAUGUGAGCAUAGUGUCCUCCAGCAGCAAGAUGUAGCUCCUGAAAGUGAUAAUUCCUCUAAAUCAGAAACAAAGAAGUCCGAGUUAUAAGAUUAACACCAAAACAUCACAUUCCUUUCUUAAAUAUAAGAAACACAUUCUUGGCAGGAUGUGGUAAUGCAUACUGGUAAUAUCAGCACUUGGGAGGUAGAGGCAAGUAGUUUCAGGUCAUCUUGAGAUACAUAGCAAGGCCUGCCUGGGUUACAGUAAGUAGAUCUUGUCUCAAAACACACACAUACACACACACACACCAAACAAACAAACAAACAAAUAAAGCCAAAACAACCCCAGCAAUGUAUCCUUUUGGUUUCUCAAGCUUGUAAGGGUGGACAUAAGAGCCAAGAACAUAUUCUCAUAAGAUGGGAGUUACUAUUGUACAGAACGAUUCUGCAUAUGUAGUCUUCUGGGAGGCUUACCUCAGUAAAACA